rnacentral:rRNA from 1 species
UACGUAGGAGGCGAGCGUUAAUCGGAAUUACUGGGCGUAAAGCGUGCGCAGGCGGUUUUGUAAGCCAGAUGUGAAAUCCCCGGGCUUAACCUGGGAACUGCAUUUGGGACUGCAAGGCUUGAGUACGGCAGAGGGGGGUAGAAUUCCUGGUGUAGCAGUGAAAUGCGUAGAUAUCAGGAGGAAUACCGAUGGCGAAGGCAGCCCCCUGGGUCGAUACUGACGCUCAUGCACGAAAGCGUGGGGAGCAAACAGG